rnacentral:rRNA from 1 species
CCCUUAGAUGUUCUGGGCCGCACGCGCGCUACACUGACGAAUGCAACGAGCUUAUAACCUUGGCCGAAAGGUCUGGGUAAUCUCCAAAUUUCGUCGUGAUGGGGAUAGAUUAUUGCGAUUAUUAAUCUUCAACGAGGAAUGCCUAGUAAGCGCAAGUCAUCAGCUUGCGUUGAUUACGUCCCUGCCCUUUGUACACACCGCCCGUCGCUCCUACCGAUUGAAUGGUCCGGUGAAGCGUUCGGACCGUGGCCUUUGGACGGUUCGCCGUCUGUUGGCUGCGGGAAGUUCGUUAAACCUUAUCAUUUAGAGGAAGGAGAAGUCGUAACA